AUGUCGGCCUGCACUGCCCAGAACCAGGAGCUACAGAGGAAAGUCCUGCAGCUGGAGAAGCAGAACCUGUCCUGCUGCUGUCCUUCGCCCUCAUCGUCCUCCCCUCCAUCAGCCCUUUCGCCGCCAACAAGGCCGAAAGCCCAGGGGACUUCGCUCCCGUGCGAGUCUUCUCCAGGACGCUGCACAACGAUGCCUCGUCCCGGGUGGCCCCGGACGACGAUCUGGCCUCCAAGGCCCCAGGCCCCUGGCCGGACGCUGCUGUGCCCCACAAAGGGCCCCCGGGCGGCCUUUGGACGGACUGGGGCUUCCUGGACAUGCUGGCACUGGGCGGGUCAGCACAGGAGCUGGACAACUCGACCCUGGUUCUGGGCAACUCGACCGAGGAGCUGGGCCCGGCCACCCUGCUGGACUGGGUGGCACCUGAGCCGGUGCUCAGCACAGGACGCGCGGGGCUGGAGGCAGCGGGGGAGGAGCUGUGAGAUCCCCAGUGUGCCUCCGAGUCCCUGCCCAGGCCACCUGGGGGUGCCCAAGUGGACGGCAGGCCCUGAUGGACACGCUCAGACCCAUAGCUCACUGCAGGGACAGACGGGAGCUGGCCUAGGUGUGGCCGCAGUGCCCCAAGCCCAGGGCUGGCCGCCGGCUGUGACCUGCGCCUGGGUGCCCCUUGGCCUCCCUGCUCACUGGGCAGAGGAAGCUGUCCAGCCUCAGGGACCCUGGACUCCUGAGUGGCCGCAACCCGCCACCACCCCUUUUCUAAGACUGUGUGACCGUUAAUAAAGUAUUUUGACAGAACUCGGCUGGGGACGCUCAGGGGACUUGGGGGGUGGAGUGCGGCCCCCCGCCCGGCAGCUUCAGCUCCUUGGAGAAGGGCAAGGGCCGGGCGGGGUCCCUGGAGCCCAGAAGUGGGACCUGGGGACCCUGCCGAGGGGCUGGCGCUACGCACCACACGGGGCUCAUUUUAAGAUGAGAAAACCAGGUCGAGGUCACAGGCGGGGAGCAGGGACAACCCGACCCACCCCACCCCCACGGGCUGUGCAGGGGCCAGGACCCACCAGGCGGGGCCUCUCUCCUCCAGGGACACCCCACUGGGGGCAGAGGGCAAUCAAUCCAAUAAAGGG
rnacentral:lncRNA from 1 species